GGAGAUGAUUUCUGUUCUUUCUGCUUAUGUAACAUGCAUGUCCGUUUUUCGUUCAGAGCUGAGGGCCGGCGAUGGUCUCUGGCCUCCCUGCCCUCGUCUGGCUAUGGAACCAAUCCACCGAGCUCCACUGUCUCGUCCUCUUCAUCAUCCCAGGAGCGUCUUCAUCAGCUUCCCUACCAGCCAACACAAGAUGAACUGCACUUCCUCUUCAAACACUUCCGCAGCACAGACAGCAUGACAGAUGAGGAUGGACGCCCCUCGCCUGUCAUACGACCUCGGUCCCGCAGCCUCAGCCCUGGGCGUUCAAGUGUCUCCUUCGAUAAUGAGAUAGUCAUGAUGAACCACGUUUACAGAGAGCGUUUUCCAAAGGCCACAGCCCAGAUGGAGGAACGCUUGUUAGAGAUAGUCACCCACUAUUCUCCAGACAGCUCCCUCCCGCUGCCUGACGGGGUACUGGGCUUCAUCCAGCACCAGUUGGUGGAGCUGGUCAGAGACUGUCUGGAUAAGUCUCAGAAAGGUCUGGUUACUUCCCGCUACUUUGCUGAGCUGCAGGAAAAGCUGGAAAAGCUGUUUCAUGAGGCCUACGAGCGCUCUGAAAGCGAGGAGGUAACUGUCAUCACCCAGCUGGUUAGGAAGAUCCUCAUCAUAAUCUCUCGGCCGGCUCGCCUCCUUGAAUGUCUGGAGUUUGACCCGGAAGAGUUUUAUCACCUACUUGAAGCAGCAGAGGGUCAUGCCAAAGUCGGCCAGGGAAUUAAGACGGACAUCCCGCGCUACAUCAUCAGCCAGCUCGGCCUGACGCGGGACCUGUUGGAAGAUGGUAGGUCUAAUGUAGGUUGCGUGAUGUUCAACAGGGCCGUGUAUCUGGUCCGUCACAAGGAGACUCGUCAGCGAUUUGCCAUGAAAAAGAUAAAUCGUCAGAACCUGGUGCUAAGGAAUCAGAUUCAGCAGGCAUUCGUGGAGCGGGACAUCCUAACCUUUGCUGAGAACCCUUUUGUUGUCUCCAUGUUCUGCUCUUUUGAGACACGGCGUCAUCUUUGCAUGGUCAUGGAGUAUGUAGAAGGUAAACAAAACAUCAUAAAUGUUGAAAUUGCCUUGUCUAUGAUUAGGUUCAUUCUAUCAAUCAAAAGUAUAAUCUUUUUUUGUCUUUUGCCACUUGACAGUUUGCUGAUAACCUCCAUGGGUCACAUCAAGCUGACAGAUUUUGGCCUGUCUAAAAUUGGACUGAUGAACAUGACCACCAACCUGUACGAAGGUCACAUUGAGAAAGACACAAGAGAAUUUGUUGACAAACAGGUAUGUGGCACUCCAGAGUACAUUGCUCCAGAGGUGAUCCUUAGGCAGGGCUAUGGGAAGCCAGUGGACUGGUGGGCAAUGGGGGUCAUUCUUUAUGAGUUUCUGGUUGGCUGUGUUCCAUUUUUUGGAGACACCCCUGAAGAGCUUUUUGGACAAGUUGUUAGUGAUGAAAUAAUUUGGCCAGAAGGAGACGAUGCCCUACCUACUGAUGCACAGGACCUGAUUACUCGUCUGCUGAGGCAGAACCCUUUAGACCGAAUUGGAACAGGUGGAGCCUCAGAGGUGAAGCAGCAUCCUUUCUUCCUGGGUUUAGACUGGAAUGGACUUCUCCGACAGAAAGCAGAGUUCAUCCCUCAGCUGGAGGCGGAGGAUGACACCAGCUAUUUUGACACUCGGUCAGAACGCUACCAUCAUUUGGCAUCUGAUGAGGACGAAGAAACCAAUGAUGAAGAGUCUUCCCUAGAAAUUAGACAGUUUGCUUCCUGGUCACAUCGCUUCAGUAAGGUGGUGGUGUCAAACCUUCGGAGAAUCAGAAUUCGGAGCAACAGCACUGGGGCUAAACACUCAUCCCCUAAGGACCCAGCAGGCCCUCGGCGCUUCGGUAACCAGCUGGAAACACCAGACAGGCAGAGGCUUCCCUGUGGAGGAAAGGUUCCAAAGUCAGCCUCUGUCUCUGCAUUGUCUCUCAUCAUUACUACAGAUGACUCUCCCAGUGGCCUCCAGCCCAGUCCCAUUUCGCCACGUUCACUUUCUUCCAACCCCUCAUCUCGUGACUCGUCCCCUAACCGAGAUCUGUUCUUCAGCCCCGGCAGCCUCAGGCCACCAAUCGUCAUCCACACCUCAGGGAAGAAGUACGGCUUCACCCUGCAGGCCAUCCGGGUCUACAUGGGUGACAGUGAUGUGUACACUGUGCAUCAUAUGGUGUCGAGUGUGGAGGAGGGCAGCCCAGCUCACCAGGCAGGUCUCUGCACUGGAGACCUCAUCACCCACGUGAACGGAGAGUCUGUCCAAGGCCUGGUCCACCCAGAGAUGAUAGAACUGCUACUGAAGAGUGGCAGCAAGGUGGCUCUGCAGACCAUAGCACUGGAGAACACGUCAAUCAAAGUUGGCCCAGCUCGAAAAACCAAACACAAAGGCAAGAUGGCACGUCGCAGCAAGAAGAGCAAGAGGAGAGAUAAUUACGACAGGCGACGGAGUAUCUUAAAGAAGUUAUCCAAGCAGAGUACAGUGAUGCACAGCAGUCGCAGCUUCUCCUCAGGCCUCCAUCACUCAGUUUCCUCCAGUGAGAGUCUUCCAGGCUCCCCGACACACAGCCUCUCCCCUGACAACACUCCUUGCUCUCCUCAGAGCACAUCUCCUUGCUCCAGCUCUCCUAGCUCCCCUGCUGCACACAUCCGGCCCAGCUCGCUCCAUGGCCUGGGAUCCAAACUCAGCACGCAACGCUACACCAAGGUUGGCCGUCGGAAGUCGACCAGUAACAUCCCUCCAUCCCCGUUGGCCUGCAGUGGGGAGCGCUCACCGUCCCCACUUCCAGGCUUUGCCAAAACUCUUCACACCUUCCAUGGCAAAACCCUGUCACCACCCACCAUUGUUAGACAUGUUGUUCGGCCCCGCAGUGCUGAACCACCCCGGUCUCCACUGCUCAAGAGGGUGCAGUCAGCUGAGAAGCUGUCUGGAGUUUAUCAUGUUGACAAGAAGUCAUACGCUCCCCGCAGACACACACUGGAAGUGCCCUUUUACUGUGAAGGUGACCUGCUGGGUGACUCCGAGGUAGAGGGGGCUUUUGGGUGCUCCUACAUUGGGGCUGACCACACCAGACUGGGGUGCUACAUAAGCAGUCAAAGGAUAGAACGGUCAGAGCAGCUAGUUGUGAUGCGGAAGCUCAACCUAUCAGAGCGGCGAGACUCCUUUAAGAAGCAAGAGGCAGUGCAGGAGGUGAGCUUUGAUGAGCCAGAGGAGAAAAAUGGCACCACAGUGACCACCGCAGCCCCAGGAGCCCAAACACAGUGUCAGCAGCAGCACAGGAUAGCCUGGAUGGCCACUCGACCCCAGAGCAGCCAGGAGGUGGAGCUGGAAGUCCCGGUGGUGAGGAGGUUUACAUUGGUGCCCCAAAUCGCCGUGCAGGGCUCAACAGAAAGUGAGGAGCAGGAUGAGUGGGAGCCAUGCUCAGAUGGAGAGGAAUCCACUGAUAGGCCUGAGCUGGAGGUGAGCAUCACUUCAAUUCAGCAGCAGCAAACAGGACAUCCUCUUGCUGACAGCAGCUGCAGUGAGGCAGAAACCACUUCCUCUGGUCCUGCACCAGCAUCAGAGAAACCUGAGUGCAGAGAGGAAAUGCCCCAAAAAGGGCCUUUGAGAAAAUGA
ensembl:lncRNA